rnacentral:rRNA from 1 species
AUGGCGAUCGCCGGCGGCCCGCGCGGCCGCCUCCUGCUCCUCCCCCUCUUCCUCGUCGCCGCCGCCGUGUGCCUCGUCUCCACCCCCGCCCGCGCCUUCUACCUCCCCGGCGUCGCCCCCCGNNNNNNNNNNNNNGAUGAUGAUCUCCAGGUGAAGGUCAACAAGCUGUCAUCUAUAAAGACACAACUUCCAUAUGACUAUUAUUUCCUGGACUACUGCAAACCUGAGGCGAUUAAGAACAGUGCUGAGAACUUAGGGGAAGUCCUUCGUGGGGACCGAAUUGAAAACUCUGUCUAUAAUUUCAAGAUGAGGAGGGAUGGGAGUUGCAAAGUUGUUUGUCGAACAAAGCUGUCUGCAGAGGCUGCAAAGAAUUUCAGAGAGAAGAUCGAUGAUGAAUAUCGAGUGAACAUGAUUUUGGAUAAUCUCCCAGUUGUGGUCCCUAGGCAGACACGGGAAGGGAGCCAACCGAUCUUUGAUCAUGGUUACCGCGUUGGCUAUAAGCUCAAGGAUGACAAGUACUAUAUUAACAAUCACUUGAGCUUUAAAGUCUUGUACCAUGAAGACCUAAACUCCCCAGAGGCUCGUAUUGUUGGCUUCCAUGUGAUUCCUAGCAGCAUUAAACAUGAAUAUGGUGCCUGGGAUGACAAGAAUCCUACAGUACAAACUUGCAACGCUAACACGAAGAUAACUCCUGGUAGUCACACACCUCAAGAGGUGGCUCCUGAUGCAUAUGUUGUAUUCUCUUACGACGUUACCUUUGAGUCUAGUGAGAUCAUAUGGGCAUCUCGCUGGGAUGUCUACCUUCUUUCCAGUGACAGCCAAAUCCACUGGUUCUCGAUCAUUAACUCCUUGAUGAUUGUUCUUUUCCUUUCUGGCAUGAUAGCCAUGAUUAUGAUGAGGACCCUUUACAAGGACAUAGCAAACUAUAAUCAGCUUGACAAUCAGGAGGAGGCCCAAGAAGAAACUGGAUGGAAGUUAGUGCAUGGUGAUGCCUUCAGGCCUCCUGUUCAUUCAGGUCUUCUUUGCGUUUAUGUUGGAACUGGUGUGCAGUUCUUUGGCAUGACAGUGGUAACCAUGAUGUUUGCGCUACUUGGAUUCUUAUCCCCUGCAAACCGUGGAGGACUCAUGACUGCUAUGGUCCUUCUGUGGGUUUUCAUGGGUGUAUUGGCGGGUUACACGUCGUCUCGCCUCUACAAGAUGUUCAAGGGCACCGAGUGGAAGAAGAUCACCCUCAAAACUGCCUUCAUGUUUCCUGGUAUAAUCUUUGGGGUCUUUUUCGUCCUGAAUGCCCUUAUCUGGGGUGAGAAAUCAUCUGGUGCAGUUCCUUUUGGGACAAUGUUUGCUCUGGUCCUUCUCUGGUUUGGCAUCUCCGUGCCACUGGUCUUUGUUGGAAGUUUCUUGGGAUUCAAGCAGCCAGCAAUUGAGGACCCAGUCAAGACAAACAAGAUUCCCAGACAAAUUCCCGAGCAAGCAUGGUACCUGCAGCCAGCUUUCUCGAUACUUGCUGGUGGCAUAUUGCCAUUUGGUGCUGUCUUCAUUGAGCUCUUCUUCAUCCUCACAUCUAUCUGGCUGAACCAGUUCUACUACAUCUUUGGCUUCCUCUUCAUAGUCUUCGUCAUUCUCCUGGUAACCUGUGCUGAGAUCACAAUUGUGCUCUGCUACUUCCAGCUAUGCAGUGAGGACUACCACUGGUGGUGGAGGGCAUACCUGACCGCAGGCUCUUCAGCUCUAUAUCUUUUUGCUUAUGCUAUCUUCUACUUCUUCAACAAGUUGGAGAUCACGAAGCUUGUUUCAGGCAUUCUCUACUUUGGUUACAUGCUGAUCAUUUCUUAUGCCUUCUUCGUCCUGACUGGCACCAUCGGCUUCUAUGCUUGCUUCUGGUUUGUGAGGAAGAUCUACGCUUCUGUGAAGAUCGACUGA